rnacentral:tRNA from 1 species
GUGGGUGUAGCUCAAUGGUAGAGCACUGGUCUGUGGCUCCAGCGGUUGAGGGUUCGAAUCCCUUCACUCACCCCA